UCUUCAGGAUAUGUUACCAAGAUUAAGAACAUCACAGAUACUCAUUUGGCAAGUUGAAUGAGAUAAGUCACAGGAAACAAAUGGCCAACCCAGGACACUGGAGAAUGUUUUCUUCACACACUGUACAUCAGAGCAGACCAUCGUCUUUGAAUAUCGUAAAUUAGAGACCACAUGCCAGAAGGGAAAAUAACCCACUUGCGUGUACUAAGGAGAUGCAAAGCAGCAAAGGGACAUUUGAGGCAGAGACAGCCCGGGACUACACAAUAAAUCUUCCUGAGAGUGAGCAUAUACCCCAACUGCGUGAACCAAGUACCUGGGUCUUGCCCUCCCAGCAGCAGAAGAGUCUGUUGCUCUUCCUAAAGGGUCAGCCCCAGGUCUUAGGGGUGGCUGAGAUCCUGAUUGGGCUGGUAAUGCUGUGCCUGGGCGUGACAAUCAGUCCUUUUCCACGUGACUAUGAAGGUGGACACUCCAUGACCACUAAAACGGGCUAUCACCUGUGGGGAUCCCUCUCUGUCCUAAGCUCGGGUGGACGGUGUGGACCAUUUUGGCAGGGGAGUGGGGGAAGCCAGGAGGACGCUGGAAGGAUGGAAGUGCAGGUGCAAGCCCUGAGUGGGCCGUCUCUCUCUCCUUGGUCAGUUCUUCAUAUCUGGAGUGGUGUCCAUCGCCGCUGGAAGAAAGAUCCAAGGCAGCCUGGGGAUGAACGCGCUCAGUGCUACCGUAGCAGGCAUUGGCACAAGUAUGAUAAUUGCUGAAGAAAUAUCCAUGUAUGAAAGCGCCAUGUGGAGGUCUCCCUAUGAAACUGUAUUUACGGUGGUGGUUUUCUUACCAAACGAUGACGGCAGCCUCUCAGAAGUGUCUUCGGAACACGUGUACGAUGAGGUCACAUUCCAGUAGACCCCGGUGGUUGGGUAUUUCCAGUCGGUUUGACCUGUGUGUUCUCCCUCGUUGGGCUGUUGACCACACACGGCUAACCCUGCGAGGGCACGCCCGUCUGACUGUCCUUAGGUUCCUAUACUUGUGGUUCGUCUGUGACAAAACACAGAAUAUUAAAGACUUCUUUGAUUUGCUGAUGAGA